rnacentral:rRNA from 1 species
GACGAACGCUGGCGGCGUGCUUAACACAUGCAAGUCGAACGGAAAGGCCCUGCUUUUGUGGGGUGCUCGAGUGGCGAACGGGUGAGUAACACGUGAGUAACCUGCCCUUGACUUUGGGAUAACUUCAGGAAACUGGGGCUAAUACCGGAUAGGAGCUCCUGCUGCAUGGUGGGGGUUGGAAAGUUUCGGCGGUUGGGGAUGGACUAGCGGCUUAUCAGCUUGUUGGUGGGGUAGUGGCUUACCAAGGCUUUGACGGGUAGCCGGCCUGAGUGGGUGACCGGCCACAUUGGGACUGAGAUACGGCCCAGACUCCUACGGGAGGCAGCAGUGGGGAGUAUUGCACAAUGGUCGGAAGCCUGAUGCAGCAACGCCGCGUGCGGGAUGACGGCCUUCGGGUUGUAAACCGCUUUCGCCUGUGACGAAGCUUGAGUGACGGUAAUGGGUAAAGAAGCACCGGCUAACUACGUG